UACGUAGGGCGCAAGCGUUGUCCGGAAUUAUUGGGCGUAAAGAGCUCGUAGGCGGCUUGUCACGUCGGGUGUGAAAGCCCGGGGCUUAACCCCGGGUCUGCAUUCGAUACGGGCUAGCUAGAGUGUGGUAGGGGAGAUCGGAAUUCCUGGUGUAGCGGUGAAAUGCGCAGAUAUCGGGAGGAACACCGGUGGCGAAGGCGGAUCUCUGGGCCAUUACUGACGCUGAGGAGCGAAAGCGUGGGGAGCGAACAGG
rnacentral:rRNA from 1 species